UAAGCAGACAUGUGGUAGUAGGUGGCA
rnacentral:piRNA from 1 species